UUUCUGUGCUUUUGUGUCUGGCAAUAGGAGAUGAUUCUGAAGCAUACAUCCGAUAUAGCAGAGGUACUCCACGCCAUCCCACAAAACCCAUCCCACACAAAUUCACACAGAAUGAUGGGUGUUAACUACUUUGAUGCACAGUUACCCGUGAACACAGAAGUUUCACAGGAUGUAGAACGAGGUAUGCAGUAUGUAUACAUGUGAGUAUGGUACAUAUGUUCCACAACAGUGUGUUAAUAAAUGAAUGUCUCUCAAUGUCUGUUUCAGCGGGUUUCAGUCGGAGUUCAAACAGUGACUUCAUUGCAGGCAGUACAUCCCAACAGUCUGAAUUCAAUAAUACCAACACGUGCAUGAAUGGACACACACAUUCGCAUGCACACUCCUCUAUGCAAAGGCACACGCACUCAAACACACACCCGUCCAUGGCUGGGCACACACAAACACAUGCACGCCCUUCUGUGUCAAACUUCUCUGUGGCUGCCACACAGCCAUUCUUAGAGAGUCCCACAGCAGACACACAACACUACAUCGUGAAGCAAAAAAGUGGAGCAUUUGCUCCAGUUCUGAAGCUGCAGUCCUCAAAAGCACAAGCUUCAAGUCUUCCCAUCUGCACGGUAAUGGCACAUGACAUGCUUGUUUUUACACACAAACUCCUCUCUCCUGCU
rnacentral:lncRNA from 1 species